rnacentral:rRNA from 1 species
UGGGGAUUAUUGGACAAUGGGCGCAAGCCCGAUCCAGCCAUGCCGCGUGAGUGAUGAAGGCCCUAGGGUUGUAAAGCUCUUUCACCGGUGAAGAUAAUGACGGUAACCGGAGAAGAAGCCCCGGCUAACUCCGUGCCAGCAGCCGCGGUAAUACGAAGGGGGCUAGCGUUGUUCGGAGUUACUGGGCGUAAAGCGCACGUAGGCGGACUUUUAAGUCAGGGGUGAAAUCCCGGGGCUCAACCCCGGAACUGCCUUUGAUACUGGAAGUCUUGAGUAUGGUAGAGGUGGGUGGAAAUCCUACUGUAGAGGUGAAAUUCGUAGUUAUUCGGGGGAACACCAGUGACGACGGCGGCUCACUGGCGCGAUACUGACGCUGAGGUGCGAAAGCGUGGGGAGCAAACAGG